AGGAACCACAUUAAAAUCCUACAACAGGAGGGCUUUCCUUGGUCAACUCUCCCUGUGGCUGGAGUUUUCUAGCGGUAAGUGUCAUGUAAAGUCAGUGACGCCUGUUUUAAGGCAUUCUCUUUCAUUAGAAGAAACAAAAAAAAAAGCAGGGAAAAAUUGGGAUCCAGAGAUAGGUUGGGGAGUGAGACUUGCUUGAAUGUGUCAAUGGUGAAUGGCACUGGGAAAACCCAUCACUCAUAGUGCUAGCCCCACCGGGCUGUGACCGCUAUGACGUUGUACGGCAGGUCCAGCUGCGGAUGAAUGAUAAGCUGAUAAGCAAGUCACAUACUUUGGGAACGCGCGUUGAUAAGACCUCCUGGAAGUGAGGCAGCUUAGAAAGAUUUGUGGUCAGACCUAAAAAUAAAUUAAAAAAAAAAAGGAAAAAAAUUGCUCUAAGACCUAGGCAAGCAGGAGUUCUUCUGAUAAGGGUCCUAAAAAGCGCAUUGACGCUAAACUGGCGGAGCAUAGAUUGCUCCUAAAAGUCAUUGUGGUCCACAGUGGACCCGGUUUGGGUAAGCCCUCUAAGGAGGCACCAAGAAGGACCCGGUGUGGGUAAGCCCUCUAAGGAGGCACCAGGAAAGUCUGGGGUCGCGCCCCAGCCUGGGUAGAAGACCCAGUCCGGCCAAGAAAAUAAAAAAUAAAAAAUAGAAAAAGAGGAAACAGGAGGAGAAAGAGAAAAAGCAAAAAAGGGAACAAGAAAUAAUCAGCUGAAAGAGCUCAGAUAAAGAAACCUUAACAGUAGAGACACACGUUCCAAACAGGAACAUUUAUGUCUGUUUGUUUGUCUUCUUUCCUACCCCAAUUCCUAUUAUGAGCCUGAGAAAUAACAGGACUCCUAUAUAAGCCAUACCUGUGUUAUGUGUAAUGUGACAUGUCUGAAUGAGUUGCCCUGAAUGAGUGGACCUCCUUUCCUACCACCCUCCACUUAUGAGCUGUGCCAAUCAAAACUCUAUCUAUCGUGCCUUCCCUUGCAAAGGGACAGUGCCGUUAGGGGGGUGAGAAAAGCACAGACACCCUGUUAUAAGCCCUGUUGUGAAAACCCCUGUUGUGCUUGUGCCCAAAAACCCAAGAGUUGCCACGUACGAAAGCUCUUCACAUGCUUGAGUGUGGUAACAAGAAACGGUGUGCAUAGAUAAGAACAGAAGAAAUAGCUGCUGUGGUUUUUUUUGUAAGUAACCUCAGACUGUGGAGCAAAAGAGAUAAUGGGAAGCUCCGGGUCAAAAACAGGCAGCCCAGAAUCAGAAAAAAACCCGUUAAAGAAAAUGUGUAAGAUCUACAAAGAUCGAAUGCCAUCUAGGUUGAAUUUAAAAAGAUUAGAAAUUCUACGGGCCGCCACCCAAUACUGGGAUGACAUCCAAGAAAGAAAACUAGGAAAAGAAAAAUUAGAAACCAAGUUGCUAACCUUGCAAAUAGAACAGCUCCAGACUCAAAUCCUACCUUAAGAAGUUUGGCUAAACAGUGCAUAGACGCAGUAUUGCAACUAAGAAGAACCUCAUUAACCAAAAUUCAUGCACUGGGCUUGCGAAUAGCAUAUUACUCUGCACAAUUAGACGCAGCUGCACAAGGAUUUCCACCUUGCUCCAAGCAGUGGCUGCUACCGCCUUGCUUGUAAAGAAAAAGCAGCUGAUUUGAAAUUAAGAAAAAUUUGUGGGUUAGAGUUCCACCGUCGCAGCCUUGUUGAUAACCAAAUCUACACAAUUUCUAUCGAAUCAGAGAUUGACUCGAUACGAGCAGAUACUACCAGCAAUUACCCUUAAACAGUGCACUACCUUAAAUGAUUGCGAAGUGGUAAUUCAAGAAUUUGACUGAUGUUACAUUGCCAGCUCCAGAUAUAGUUCUGUUUACUGAUAGCUCUUGUAAAGGAAACAGCUGGGGAAAGCUAGUAGCCAGAUAUGCAGUAAUUUCUCAAGUACUGAUAAAAUAAAAAUAAAAAGGGGAAGUGUAUACCACAUUAGAAAGUUUCGCUCUGCCACGAAGUGCACAAGCCGCAGAAUUAAUUGCUUUAACCAGAACCUAGCAAAAGGUUUGUCAAUAAAUAUUCAUACAAUAUUGUUUUGUAAUCUGUCAUGCAGUUGAGCAAAUCUAAGAAUAUAGAGGCUUUAUGACAGCCGCAGGAGGGCCUAUAGCAAAUAGCCCUUUAGCUGCAAAGUGGUUUUGCAGCUAAUUGCAUCUUGAGAUUUAGUUAAGACACUAACAUACUUAAACAAUGGUGUGCCCCAAGAAUACACCUAGAAGCUAAAUGAGUGUACCAAAAUUGUGUAACUUGCCUGAAGUUUUUAUAGUCCUAAACUAUCUGCACACACCCAUGAGUUUAUAGUCCAUUUCAAUAUUGCAGAUUGACUUUAUUGAAUUUACUAACGCAAUAAGAUUUAAAUACUGUUUGACUGUUGUGUGCAUUUUCAGUAGAUGGGUAAAAAGUUUUCCUGUAUAAUAUGCAACAGAAAAAUCCACAAUUAAAUGCUUACUAAGAGAAGUGGUGCCCAGGUUUAGCGUACCUUUAAGGGUAGAUUCAGACUAUACUACGAAUUAAGUGAAAUUCCUUUAGUGUUAAUGAACUUGAGAAACAGCCCCAACAGAAAACAUGGACUCACACAACAUGAGAUUGUAUUUGGGAAGCUUAUGGCUGUUGGACUGUCUCUGCCAAAACCAUUUUUCCCCUCACUGAGAGCAGUGAGGAAAUAAUCUGUUAUGUUCUACACUUACACAGACUAUUAGUUCAACUCCAAAGAAAAAUGAGAAACAAGCAACUGAUUCCAGCUGAUGUUCUAUGUCAUCAUUUCCAACCAAGAGAUGCAGUGUAUUGUGUUGCUGACCACACACACCUAGAUACAUGCAGCUCCUGUGAAAAAGCUAAAUCCAGGAUGCCAGACGGAUGAUCCAGAUGAUCCAGUUGCACUAGAAAGUUACUCAGACCUGAUUGAGAUGUUAAAGGAUGAAAGAAGCUGCCAGGAGGAAGCCAAGAGAGCCCCCUGCACAUGCUAAGCGACCAAGUGUCCAGUGGAGAGAGAGAGUUGAGGCUGAAGAGCAGGAACUCCCCUCCACGGAACGACAUCUGGUCAGUCAACAAGAUCAGCUGUCCUUUUAACCUCAAGUCAAGAGUUUCAGAGUUAACGAGGCAUAAUAACCCUCCAACGAAAUCUGGAUGCUCUAAGAGACAUUCAGUGAAGAGAAGAUAUUAAGACAACACCGUUACAACUACUUUGUGUGUUUUAAACCUCUAUAGUUCUCUGAAUUGUAAAAAUGAAAUUUGAGUGUGUGUUAUUUCUUAUUAUACAAGCCCUGCCUUGCAUUGCAAUCCAAAAAAGAGUUUCAAAAGCAUCCCAUGACUUGAGCAGGUAAAAAAAGAAAAAAAGAAAGAAAGUAUUCAGUUGCAUUAUUAAGCAAAGAACAAAAGAGUGAAGAUUAGAGCUUUAAUAGAGAAUGGUUUUAUGGCUAUGGGCAAAGCAACGACCAUCAGGAGGGAAUCUGUCGCGGAAUUUUAGCUGGUUCUUUUGCUAUGCCCAUAGGUAUGAGAAAAUGGCCUAUCAUCCUUAGCUAUAGUUCAUAAAGUUCAUGGCUUCCUGUUCCUUUAAACCUUGUUUUUAAUGCUGCAAUUGCUUUUGCUUUUAGAGUUAAGUUGAUGCAGAAACUAUGUGACAACAUAGGCGUUGUCCACCCCGGCAGUCAGAGGGUGGAGGAUGCCUGCAAGGAAAGAUAACCAAGAAAAUAACAGAUAGAGAUGUUUUUCUGUUUUUCUGUAACUGUGAUAUCUUCUAGUCAGAGAAGCACUCAUACUCUGUACAUGCCUAAAUGCUUAGCUUCUUAUUGGUUGUUGCAUUUUCAGAACUGUAUUAUGAUUGGUGAGAAAGUUCUGCCAUGGUAUCUAAGGGGAACUGACUCUAUAAAUAUGUUGACAUUUCCUGAAAUUAUUGGGCAGUUUCCUCAGACUGCCACCUUGCAGCGCUGCUCGUAAUAAACCUUCUAAGGAGAGAGAAA